AACGAACGCUGGCGGCAGGCCUAACACAUGCAGGUCGAGCGAAGCCUUCGGGCUUAGCGGCGGACGGGUGAGUAACGCGUGGGAACGUGCCCUUUGCUACGGAAUAGCCCCGGGAAACUGGGAGUAAUACCGUAUGUGCCCUUCGGGGGAAAGAUUUAUCGGCAAAGGAUCGGCCCGCGUUGGAUUAGGUAGUUGGUGGGGUAAUGGCCUACCAGGCCGACGAUCCAUAGCUGGUUUGAGAGGAUGAUCAGCCACACUGGGACUGAGGCACGGCCCAGACUCCUACGGGAGGCAGCAGUGGGGAAUCUUAGACAAUGGGGGAAACCCUGAUCUAGCCAUGCCGCGUGAUCGAUGAAGGCCUUAGGGUUGUAAAGAUCUUUCAGUGGGGAAGAUAAUGACUGUACCCACAGAUGAAGCCCCGGCUAACUCCGUGCCAGCCGCCGCGGUAACAC
rnacentral:rRNA from 1 species